CUCGUAGGCGGCCAACUAAGUCGGAUGUGAAAUCCCCAAGCUUAACUUGGGAACUGCAUCCGAUACUGGAUGGCUUGAAUCCGGGAGAGGGAUGCAGAAUUCCAGGUGUAGCGGUGAAAUGCGUAGAUAUCUGGAGGAAUACCGGUGGCGAAGGCGGCAUCCUGGACCGGCAUUGACGCUGAUGAGCGAAAGCUAGGGGAGCAAACG
rnacentral:rRNA from 1 species